UACAGAGGUCUCAAGCGUUGUUCGGAUUCAUUGGGCGUAAAGGGUGCGUAGGCGGCGCGGUAGGUCGGGUGUGAAAUCUCGGGGCUUAACUCCGAAACUGCAUUCGAUACUACCGUGCUUGAGGACUGGAGAGGAGACUGGAAUUUACGGUGUAGCGGUGAAAUGCGUAGAUAUCGUAAGGAAGACCAGUGGCGAAGGCGGGUCUCUGGACAGUUCCUGACGCUGAGGCACGAAGGCCAGGGGAGCAAACGGG
rnacentral:rRNA from 1 species